rnacentral:tRNA from 1 species
GCCUCCGUAGCUUAGUAGCCAUAGCGGCUGACUUGUAAUCAGCAGGUCGGGGGUGCAACUCCCCCCGGAGGCU